rnacentral:rRNA from 1 species
UACGUAGGGAGCAAGCGUUGUCCGGAAUCAUUGGGCGUAAAGCGCGCGUAGGCGGCCCUGUAAGUCCGUUGUGAAAGUCAAAGGCUCAACCUUUGAAAGCCGAUGGAUACUGCAGGGCUAGAGUCCGGAAGAGGCGAGUGGAAUUCCUGGUGUAGCGGUGGAAUGCGCAGAUAUCAGGAGGAACACCAAUAGCGAAGGCAGCUCGCUGGGACGGUACUGACGCUAAGGCGCGAAAGCGUGG